rnacentral:rRNA from 1 species
AUGGUUGAGGGCUCCGAGUCCGAUAUUGCCAACCUGAAGUUCCUCCUCCGCUGCUUCCAACGGAUGUCCGGUCUGACCAUCAACUUUGAUAAGAGCGAAGUGAUGGUGCUAGGAUACCCACCGAUGGAGGCCCAGGGCAUUGCGGACCGGCUUAAUUGCCGACUGGGUUCUUUCCCCACGACCUAUCUGGGGAUCCCCAUUAGUGACUCUCGCCUCACAUUAGCAGACCUCCGCCCUUCCGUGACCCAGAUGCAACACCGAGUCGAGCCCUGGAAGGGCCGGUGGCUCUCGAAGGCGGCGCGGGUAAUCCUCAUCAACUCCUCGCUGGCUAGCCUCCUCUGGUUCCUCAUGAGCUUCUAUAGACUCCAUGAGACGCUCCACCAGGAGGUGGCCAAAUAUCAGUCCAGAUUUUACUGGGCUGGCGAGGGGGACAAGCAAAAAUACCAUAUGGUGAGCUGGCCGGACAUUUGCAAACCCAAGGACCACGGAGGUCUGGGGAUCUUGUCCUCCCGUCGCAUGAACAUUGCUCUCCUGACCCGAUGGCUAUGGCGUAUUGCCAACGGGGAGGGCGGCCUCUGGCUU